CGCGGUCUCGGCGGCGGCGACGGCCGGGUCGGCCGGACCGACCGCCUCGCCUGCCGGGUCGGCCGGAUCGGUUCCGCAGCCGGUGAUCGCGGC
rnacentral:tRNA from 1 species